rnacentral:sRNA from 1 species
GCCGAUUCCGAAGACUGUGGGGCGGAUCAAGCUAGACUGCCCUCUACGGCCCAGCUGCCCACUGGAGGUCGCUGCUGUACCCAAACUUUGCAAGGAAUUCGGUCCAGAGGAUUACGGCGAAGAGGACAUAGUGGAUUUUCUUCGACGGCUUGUGGAGAGUGAUCCCCAGGGCCUGCACCGGAUCCAUGUGGAUGGGAGCAGCGGGCGGCUGCAGCUGUGGCACCAUGGUGGGGAGUGCAGGGACCGGGCCCAGGGAUCGAGGCUGGUACCCUGGGAGGGCUGACCCUCAGAUGCACCCCUCUCUCAUGUUCUUUCUUUCCUGUCUCUUUCUCCCUCCUGACAGAUUACCUCCUGGGCCACUUGGAUGAUGAAGGGAAAUCAACUGGACAGAGUGACAGGGGCAAGGGGGCUGAGGGACUGGGCACCUACUGUGGUCUCCGCAAGUCCUUCCUGUAUCCUCCCCAAGAGUCUGAGCCCUGCCCUCAAAGCCCCUCUGCCUCUGCCACCUUCCCCAGUGUCUCAGACAGCCUGCUUCAGGUGGCCAUGCCCCAGAAGCUCCUGGUGACAGAAGAGGAAGCCAAUCGCCUGGCUGAGGAGCUGGUGGCUGAGGAGGAGCGCAUGAAACAGAAAGCAGAGAAAAAGCGACUCAAGAAGAAGCGUCAAAAGGAACGGAAGCGACAGGAGCGUUUGGAGCAGUACUGUGGGGAGCCCAAGGCCAGCACUACCUCAGAUGGAGAAGAGAGCCCCCCAUCCAGCCCUGGAAACCCAGUUCAGGGACAGUGUGGUGAAGAAGAGGACUCACUGGAUCUAUCUAGCACUUUUGUGUCUCUGGCUUUGCGCAAGGUUGGGGAUUGGCCCCUCAGUGCCCGCAGA